rnacentral:rRNA from 1 species
UAGGGAAUCUUCCGCAAUGGAUGCAAGUCUGACGGAGCAACGCCGCGUGAGUGAAGAAGGAUCUCGGUUCGUAAAACUCUGUUGUUAGAGAAGAACAGCGCAUAGAGUAACUGUUAUGCGUGUGACGGUAUCUAAUCAGAAAGCCACGGCUAACUACGUGCCAGCAGCCGCGGUAAUACGUAGGUCCCGUGCGUUGUCCGGAUUUAUUGGGCGUAAAGCGAGCGCAGGCGGUUAGAUAAGUCUGAAGUUAAAGGCAGUGGCUCAACCAUGGUAGGCUUUGGAAGCUGAUUAACUUGAGUGCAGAAGGGGAGAGUGGAAUUCCAUGUGAAGCGGUGAGAUGCGUAGAUAUAUGAAGAAACACCGGUGGCGAAAGCGGCGCUCUAGUCUGUAACUGACGCUGAGGCUCGAAAGCGUGGGGAGCGAACAGG